rnacentral:rRNA from 1 species
UGGCGCACGGGUGAGUAACACGUGGGCAACCUACCCAGAAGACCGGGACAACACUUCGAAAGGGGUGCUAAUACCGGAUACGCUCGCUGAGUCGCAUGAUUUGGCGGGGAAAGAAUUUUCGCUUUUGGAUGGGCCCGCGUCCCAUUAGCUAGUUGGUGAGGUAAUGGCUCACCAAGGCAACGAUGGGUAGCUGGUCUGAGAGGACGAUCAGCCACACUGGAACUGAGACACGGUCCAGACUCCUACGGGAGGCAGCAGUGGGGAAUCUUGCGCAAUGGGCGGAAGCCUGACGCAGCAACGCCGCGUGAAUGAAGAAGGCCUUCGGGUUGUAAAGUUCUGUCAGGGGGGACGAAGAGUUGACGGUACCCCCAGAGGAAGCCCCGGCUAACUACGUGCCAGCAGCCGCGGUAACACGUAGGGGGCGAGCGUUGUCCGGAAUUACUGGGCGUA